UGUUUGAAUUGUUAUAACAGCUUUUCAUGUGUAUAAUAUAAUAUCAGUGAUGUAUAAUAUAUCUUAAAACUUGAUUAUUGCAGGAUCUAUCUGAACUAUUCACACCUCUAAGUGACAAAGACGAAAGAGAAGUCAAUGCUCUGUUGUGUAGUAGUGAUGACAAAUUUACUUAGCAUAUCCUCUGUUGUGCAGUAGUGAUGACAGAACGGAAAUAGCUGUGGUGGUUUCUACAACGGUAGCUUUAUGCAGGAGGUUAGUACGCUAGAGCUGAAGCACACUUCAUGAAUAAGGUUGAAGCCUUACGAACCUUGGGCGGACGGGAUGUGGCCUGCGCGGAAGCCAGAUGCACCCGAGGUUCCAGAAGCUCCACGCGCGACCGGUCGGAGGACGCGGAUGGUACGUCGAGGGGGAAGCUAAGCUCACAGUAUAACUUUCCAGCCUUAGCACGGGAAUCCGAUGCGCAGGUGGGAGGGAAGCUAGGAACAAGCACGCUCGGCAGAGGAAGCGGAAGGUCAUAUCGCGGAUGGCGUUGAGGGCCAGAACGCGACGCCGGGGCUUCUUUCGUGCUUGAGCGACAGGAGCGAGGUCCAUGAGAUGGAGCAGGGGCGGGGUCACGGAUAGUGUGGAUGCCCUCGUCCACUCUUAUGCUAUUUUAUAUCUCAGAAUGUGAAUACUUAUGUUUUCUAUAAUAAUCAUGGGUCAUUUUUACUAUCCUGGGAA